rnacentral:rRNA from 1 species
CUGCCACCGAAUACAUUAGCAUGGGAUAAUGGAAUAGGACCCUGUCCUCCUAUUUUCAGUUGGUUUUGGCAGCGCGAGGACUAGGGUAAUGAUUAAUAGGGAUAGUUGGGGGCAUUAAUAUUUAAUUGUCAGAGGUGAAAUUCUUGGAUUUAUGAAAGAUUAACUUCUGCGAAAGCAUCUGCCAAGGAUGUUUUCAUUAAUCAAGAACGAAAGUUAGGGGAUCGAAGACGAUCAGAUACCGUCGUAGUCUUAACCAUAAACGAUGCCGACCAGCGAUUAGGAGACGUUGAAUACAAAACACCACCAUCGGCGCGGUCGUCCUUGGCGUCGGUCUUUCGGGGCCGGCGCGGGGGCGGCUUAGCCCGGUGGCACCGGUGAAUGACUCCCUA